AACGAACGCUGGCGGCAGGCCUAACACAUGCAAGUCGAACGGGCAUCGCAAGAUGUCAGUGGCAGACGGGUGAGUAACACGUGGGAACGUGCCCAUCGGUUCGGACUAACCCAGGGAAACUUGGGCUAAUGCCGGAUACGCCUUGGCGAGAGCUUGGGGAAAGAUUGAUUUGCCGAUGGAUCGGCCCGCGUCUGAUUAGCUAGUUGGUGGGGUAAUGGCUCACCAAGGCGACGAUCAGUAGCUGGUCUGAGAGGAUGAUCAGCCACACUGGGACUGAGACACGGCCCAGACUCCUACGGGAGGCAGCAGUGGGGAAUAUUGGACAAUGGGCGCAAGCCUGAUCCAGCCAUGCCGCGUGAGUGAUGAAGGCCCUAGGGUUGUAAAGCUCUUUCGCACGCGACGAUAAUGACGGUAGCGUGAGAAGAAGCCCCGGCUAACUUCGUGCCAGCAGCCGCCGUAACAC
rnacentral:rRNA from 1 species